rnacentral:rRNA from 1 species
GACGAACGCUGGCGGCGUGCCUAAUACAUGCAAGUUGAGCGCUGAAGGUUGGUACUUGUACCAACUGGAUGAGCAGCGAACGGGUGAGUAACGCGUGGGGAAUCUGCCUUUGAGCGGGGGACAACAUUUGGAAACGAAUGCUAAUACCGCAUAAAAACUUUAAACACAAGUUUUAAGUUUGAAAGAUGCAAUUGCAUCACUCAAAGAUGAUCCCGCGUUGUAUUAGCUAGUUGGUGAGGUAAAGGCUCACCAAGGCGAUGAUACAUAGCCGACCUGAGAGGGUGAUCGGCCACAUUGGGACUGAGACACGGCCCAAACUCCUACGGGAGGCAGCAGUAGGGAAUCUUCGGCAAUGGACGAAAGUCUGACCGAGCAACGCCGCGUGAGUGAAGAAGGUUUUCGGAUCGUAAAACUCUGUUGGUAGAGAAGAACGUUGGUGAGAGUGGAAAGCUCAUCAAGUGACGGUAACUACCCAGAAGGGGACGGCUAACUACGU